AAUAGUCAAAAGAGAAUAAAGGUAAAACAAUCAGUUUCUUCAGUAAUAACAAGGUUCAUUCUUUUCACUUUUUCUCUCUGCCUUUAUGAUUAUUUUGCAGGUACAAGUAUAGUAGGCUAAUUAUCACUUUCUUCCUUUCUUCAUCUCUCUCCUCUUUUUUGCCUACUUACAUAUUUUGGUACGACUAGGGUUAUUUUUUUUUUCACCAGGAAUAAGACCAGUUUUUAUUUAGUACCCACUGCAACUGCCAGCUUCAAAAACAUAAAGAGUACUUUUCGAAUCAUAAAUUUUUAUUUAGGCAAAAGAAGAAAUUAAUAAUAUAGAAUCUGAAAUAAAGUGUGAGUUCUCAAGCAAUAGAACAACCCAUAAUGCAAAAAAUAAGGUCGUCGUACCCAGUGCACAAGGCUCCCGCUUUACGCAGGGUCUGGGAGAGGUGAAUGUCGGCUAGCCUUACCCCCAUUUAUGGAGAGGCUGCUCCCAAGCAAAAAAUAAGGCAGAUGAAAAAAUAAGUAAAUUCCAAGCGAUUAACACAAAAGCCCAAGGGCUAUACCUGUGGAGUAUUAUCAAUUAUGGCAACUUUCGCAAGAUCAACACCCAAAACUGUCAAAUCUUUA
rnacentral:lncRNA from 1 species